rnacentral:rRNA from 1 species
CCUACGGGAGGCUGAACCAGCCAUGCCGCGUGAAGGUCAGUGCCCUAUGGGCGUUAAACUUCUUUUGUGCGGGAGCAAUAAUGGUCACGUGUGGCCAGACGAGAGUACCGUACGAAUAAGCAUCGGCUAACUCCGUGCCAGCAGCCGCGGUAAUACGGGGGAUGCAAGCGUUAUCCGGAUUUAUUGGGUUUAAAGGGUGCGUAGGCUGUGAGGUAAGUCAGCGGUGAAAUGCCCCCGCUCAACGGGGUGAAGUGCCAUUGAUACUGCCUUGCUGGAAUGCGGAUGCGGUGGGAGGAAUGUGUGGUGUAGCGGUGAAAUGCAUAGAUAUCACACAGAACACCGAUUGCGAAGGCAUCUCACGAAUCCGCGAUUGACGCUGAUGCACGAAAGCGUGGGUAUCAAACAGGAUUAGAUACCCUAGUAGUC